rnacentral:rRNA from 1 species
CCUACGGGUAGCAGCAGUCGAGAAUCAUUCACAAUGGGGGAAACCCUGAUGGUGCGACGCCGCGUAGGGGAAUGAAGGUCUUCGAAUUGUAAAACCCUGUCAUGUGGGAGCAAAUCAAAAAGAUAGUACCACAAGAGGAAGAGACUGCUAACUCUGUGCAAGCAGCCGCGGUAAUACAGAGGUCUCAAGCGUUGUCCGGAAUCACUGGGCGUAAAGCGUGCGUAGGCUGUUUCGUAAGUCGUGUGUGAAAGGUUCGGGCUCAACCCGCGAACGGCACAUGAUACUGCGAGACUAGAGUAAAGGAGGGGUAACCGGAAUGUUCGGUGUAGCAGUGAAAUGCGUAGAUAUC